GCCUGCGGGUGCUAUACUGCAGUCGAGCGGACAGAUGGGAGCUUGCUCCCUGAUGUUAGCGGCGGACGGGUGAGUAACACGUGGGUAACCUGCCUGUAAGACUGGGAUAACUCCGGGAAACCGGGGCUAAUACCGGAUGGUUGUCUGAACCGCAUGGUUCAGACAUAAAAGGUGGCUUCGGCUACCACUUACAGAUGGACCCGCGGCGCAUUAGCUAGUUGGUGAGGUAACGGCUCACCAAGGCGACGAUGCGUAGCCGACCUGAGAGGGUGAUCGGCCACACUGGGACUGAGACACGGCCCAGACUCCUACGGGAGGCAGCAGUAGGGAAUCUUCCGCAAUGGACGAAAGUCUGACGGAGCAACGCCGCGUGAGUGAUGAAGGUUUUCGGAUCGUAAAGCUCUGUUGUUAGGGAAGAACAAGUGCCGUUCAAAUAGGGCGGCACCUUGACGGUACCUAACCAGAAAGCCACGGCUAACUACGUGCCAGCAGCCGCGGUAAUACGUAGGUGGCAAGCGUUGUCCGGAAUUAUUGGGCGUAAAGGGCUCGCAGGCGGUUUCUUAAGUCUGAUGUGAAAGCCCCCGGCUCAACCGGGGAGGGUCAUUGGAAACUGGGGAACUUGAGUGCAGAAGAGGAGAGUGGAAUUCCACGUGUAGCGGUGAAAUGCGUAGAGAUGUGGAGGAACACCAGUGGCGAAGGCGACUCUCUGGUCUGUAACUGACGCUGAGGAGCGAAAGCGUGGGGAGCGAACAGGAUUAGAUACCCUGGUAGUCCACGCCGUAAACGAUGAGUGCUAAGUGUUAGGGGGUUUCCGCCCCUUAGUGCUGCAGCUAACGCAUUAAGCACUCCGCCUGGGGAGUACGGUCGCAAGACUGAAACUCAAAGGAAUUGACGGGGGCCCGCACAAGCGGUGGAACAUGUGGUUUAAUUCGAAGCAACGCGAAGAAC
rnacentral:rRNA from 1 species